rnacentral:rRNA from 1 species
AUUGAACGCUGGCGGCAGGCCUAACACAUGCAAGUCGAGCGGUUGAAGGGAGCUUGCUCCCUGAUUCAGCGGCGGACGGGUGAGUAAUGCCUAGGAAUCUGCCUACUAGUGGGGGACAACGUUUCGAAAGGAACGCUAAUACCGCAUACGUCCUACGGGAGAAAGCAGGGGACCUUCGGGCCUUGCUCUAAUAGAUGAGCCUAGGUCGGAUUAGCUAGUUGGGGAGGUAAUGGCUCACCAAGGCGACGAUCCGUAACUGGUCUGAGAGGAUGGUCAGUCACACUGGAACUGAGACACGGUCCAGACUCCUACGGGAGGCAGCAGUGGGGAAUAUUGGACAAUGGGCGAAAGCCUGAGCCAGCCAUGCCGCGUGUGAAGAAGGUCUUCGGAUUGUAAAGCACUUUAAGUUGGGAGGAAGGGCAGUAAGUUAAUACCUUGCUGUUUUGACGUUACCGACAGAGUAAGCACCGGCUAACUCUGUGCCAGCCGCCGCAGUAAAAC